rnacentral:rRNA from 1 species
AGCAGCCGCGGUAAUUCCAGCUCCAAUAGCGUAUAUUAAAGUUGUUGCAGUUAAAGAGCUCGUAGUUGAAUUUCGAGAUCAGUACGCUGGUCGUGCCUUCGGUAUGUACUGGUGUCACUGGUUUCUCCCUUCUGAAGAACCGUUAUGUCAUUAAGUUGGUGUGGCGGGGAAUCAGGACUGUUACUUUGAAAAAUUAGAGUGUUUAAAGCAGGCUCGCGCUUGAAUACAUUAGCAUGGAAUAAUGAAAUAGGACGUUUGACCCUAUUUUGUUGGUUUCUAGGAUCGACGUAAUGAUUAAUAGGGAUAGUUGGGGGCAUUAGUAUUCAAUUGUCAGAGGUGAAAUUCUUGGAUUUAUUGAAGACUAACUACUGCGAAAGCAUUUGCCAAGGAUGUUUUCAUUAAUCAAGAACGAAAGUUAGGGGAUCGAAGACGAUCAGAUACCGUCGUAGUCUUAACCAUAAACUAUGCCGACUAGGGAUCGGGUGAUUGUUAAUUUUUAAUGUACUCA